CUGUAUCAUCACUUCAUAGUGAAACCUGUUGUUCUCACACGUAAAGUGAUAGGAGAGCAUAUGCAAUUCCUGCCUACCCUCUACUAAGAGAUUACUAUCCAGCAGGGACCCAAGGACCCCCAAAUCUCUCAACUGUAUCAUCACUUCAUAGUGAAACCUGUUGUUCUCACACGUAAAGUGAUAGGAGAGCAUAUGCAAUUCCUGCCUACCCUCUACUAAGAGAUUACUAUCCAGCAGGGACCCAAGGACCCCCAAAUCUCUCAACUGUAUCAUCACUUCAUAGUGAAACCUGUUGUUCUCACACGUAAAGUGAUAGGAGAGCAUAUGCAAUUCCUGCCUACCCUCUACUAAGAGAUUACUAUCCAGCAGGGACCCAAGGACCCCCAAAU